AAUGCAAAUGAGCUGCCACAAUUAACUUUACUGCUCCCAACUCACAAGAAUGGACAGAUGAUUAUAAAUGACAACUAUAUGUCAAUUACAAUAUCCAAUAAAGUGAAGCUUAGAGAACAAUCCGUCUCCUUUUACUGCUCUUCCUUGACUAGCUGAAUUUAGCUCAACCCACUGUUGUCACAAUGUAGCCAUUGUUUGGGGAAGGGGUAAGGGGUUUGGCUUGGCUUUCUACCCCCCCCUUUUUAUUUUAAUUUUUCAGUUUCUUAAGAAGUGCUUCAAAAAUACCCAUGUAAAUACAUUUUCUGAAGGAGGAGAGCCACAGGAAACCAGGAAUAAAUGCCUCAUUCAUUCUAUAGAAAACUUGCUGACUUUUGCAGAAAACUUUACAUUCAUGAGCCGAUAAUGACCCUUUCCAGUCACCUGCAAAGUCGUCUAACGUAAUCACAAACUCAUCAAGGUACAAGUUAAAUCACGUAAUAGACAUUGCCCCAGAUACUACACGUCUGUUGGAUCACCAGGGGAGAACUCCAAACAUUAACAGGCUAAGAAAUGUCCCCCAAAGAGGUAAGAGGUAAGAUUAUUCAAGGUGUCUUACUUUUCCCUUCUUUUGGUGGUUGAAAACAUUUUAUUCUGCACUGUUUGCAGGGAGGGGGUGUUUUGUUUUCUCCAAAGAGACAAACACAAAAAAUUGCAUGGAAUCAAGUUAUGCGAACAUCACGGAACCGCUUCUUGAAGCAUUCCAAAUAUACGUUUUUGCUAAUUAAUUAACAAAUUCAAGCUGGUUAAAUAAAACCUUCUUCCAACACCUCCUAUUUAAUUGCAGUUUGGCACCAACAAAUAUAUAUCAAAAUUAUAGUAUUUCCCCUGACAGGAAGCUCCUUCCUUCCACACACUAUUAUGACUCUCUGCAGAGUAAGCCAGAAUUGCUGACAACCUUGAACACUGCGACAACAAUAUUACUAUACUUGGCAAAGAAGUGCCCUUGCGGCAAGAGAAAAGCUGUAAUUUUGACUGUCACUUCACAUUACACUAGAUAUUAUUUCACUGUAUACACAUGCACACACUCACAAACUCUUAAUAGACUACAGUUUUCGCGCUGUCUGCCUUUCCAAUAUAAAUGGCAAUAUAACACCAGCGCACCGCCAAUGGAAUCCCGGCGAGAAACAAAUGGUUUGCAUUAUGGAAACAUCGUCGGAGGAUGCCUUUUAAGGCAUAUUUCAUUCCUUUGUCCCCUACUCAUGCCGGGUACACCCCAGCAUCAACUUCGUAAGCUAAUUGCUUUGAUUAUCAAAAGAAUUUCAAUUUUUUUUU